rnacentral:rRNA from 1 species
UCGGACCUUGUGCAAUUGGAUGAGCCUGCGUUAGAUUAGCUGGUUGGUGGGGUAAAGGCCUACCAAGGCGACGAUCUAUAGCUGGUCUGAGAGGAUGAUCAGCCACAUCGGGACUGAGACACGGCCCGGACUCCUACGGGAGGCAGCAGUGGGGAAUAUUGGACAAUGGGCGCAAGCCUGAUCCAGCAAUGCCGCGUGUGUGAAGAAGGCCUUCGGGUUGUAAAGCACUUUCAAUUGUGAAGAAGGGGUUAGUAUUAAUACUACUGACCUUUGACGUUAACUUUAGAAGAAGCACCGGCUAACUCCGUGCCAGCAGCCGCGGUAAUACGGAGGGUGCAAGCGUUAAUCGGAAUUACUGGGCGUAAAGCGCGCGUAGGCGGUUGUUUAAGUCAGAUGUGAAAGCCCCGGGCUCAACCUGGGAAUGGCCUCUGAUACUGGAUAACUAGAGUUUGGGAGAGGGGAGUAGAAUUUCAGGUGUAGCGGCGAAAUGCACAGAUAUCUGAAGGAAUACCAGUGGCGAAGGCGACUCUCUGGCCUAAAACUGACGCUGAGGUGCGAAAGCGUGGGUAGCAAACA